GACGAACGCUGGCGGCGUGCUUAACACAUGCAAGUGGAGCGACGAACCAGGGCUUGCCCUGGGGCAAAGCCGCGAACGGGUGAGUAACACGUGGGUAACCUGCCCCGAUGACCGGGACAACCCGAGGAAACUCGGGCUAAUACCGGAUGAGCUCACGCCACAUCAGUGGCAUGAGGAAAGGAAGCUUCGGCCUCCGCAUUGGGAUGGGCCCGCGGCCCAUUAGCUUGUUGGUGGGGAAAGGCCUACCAAGGCUUCGAUGGGUAGCUGGUCUGAGAGGACGAUCAGCCACACUGGGACUGAGACACGGCCCAGGCUCCUACGGGAGGCAGCAGUGGGGAAUCUUGCGCAAUGCGCGAAAGCGUGACGCAGCAACGCCGCGUGCGGGAAGACGGCC
rnacentral:rRNA from 1 species